AUUGAACGCUGGCGGCAGGCCUAACACAUGCAAGUCGAACGAGUGGCGGACGGGUGAGUAAUGUCUGGGAAACUGCAUGAUGGAGGGGGAUAACUACUGGAAACGGUAGCUAAUACCGCAUACCAACAGAUAUGCCCAGAUGGGAGUAGCUAGUUGGUGGGGUAACGGCUCACCAAGGCGACGAUCCCUAGCUGGUAUGCGAGGAUGACCAGCCACGCUGGAACUGAGACACGGUCCAGACUCCUACGGGAGGCAGCAGUGGGGAAUAUUGCACAAUGGGCGCAAGCCUGAUGCAGCCAUGCCGCUUGUAGUAAGAAGGCCUUCGGGUUGUAAAGUACUUUCAGCGGGGAGGCGUUACCCGCAGAAGAAGCACCGGCUAACUCCGUGCCAGCAGCCGCGGUAAUUC
rnacentral:rRNA from 1 species